UACAGAGGGGGCAAGCGUUAUUCGGAAUUAUUGGGCGUAAAGGGCUCGUAGGCGGUCUGUCGCGUCGGGAGUGAAAACUCAGGGCUUAACCCUGAGCCUGCUUCCGAUACGGGCAGACUAGAGGUAUGCAGGGGAGAACGGAAUUCCUGGUGUAGCGGUGAAAUGCGCAGAUAUCAGGAGGAACACCGGUGGCGAAGGCGGGUCUCUGGGCCGAUACUGACGCCGAGGAGCGAAAGCGUGGGGAGCGAACAGG
rnacentral:rRNA from 1 species